rnacentral:rRNA from 1 species
UACGAAGGGUGCAAACGUUGCUCGGAAUCAUUGGGCGUAAAGAGCGUGUAGGCGGCCAGAUAAGUCCGCUGUGAAAUCUCGAGGCUCAACUUCGAGCUGUCGGUGGAAACUGUCUGGCUAGAGUCCGGAAGAGGAGAAUGGAAUUCCUGGUGUAGCGGUGAAAUGCGCAGAUAUCAGGAAGAACACCCGUGGCGAAGGCGGUUCUCUGGGACGGUACUGACGCUGAGACGCGAAAGCGUGGGGAGCGAACAGG